GAUAAUUCCAGCGCUUGCUUCAUUGCAUUGUACGCGGCUUUGGAUUUGAAACCGCGCAAUGAAGUUCUGCCUGUACGUAUUUGCUAUCUGCUUGCUCGUGUGCCUUAAGUUUCUGGAAGGGCGAGGUGUAGGAGGAUGCUCAAGAAAGCCAAGAAUUGGAAACUGUGCAGGCCCCAAGACAUGGUCUUAUGACUCGAAAUCAGGAACAUGCAUCGCUUUAUUAUUAGGAUUAUGUCCUAACCAGAAGGCCGUGAACAGUUAUCCCACAUGCGAACAGUGCCUAAAGAAAUGCGCUGGUAAACUUAGUGCUCAGAAAAUUAAAAAGGCCUGCAUCCUUCGUGCCUAAACAUCCGGAAAAAUGACAGACGCUUAGAAGGCCCUCAUUUCUGGAGCCAAAAGUUUGGUUGGAUACCGAACUGUCAAGACAUGCCUAAGCCGCGCACGGUUACACGGGUGAGAGUCCAACCGUCAAGUGCACGGCUGCAAAUAUUUGGAGCCUUUAGACCCACCAAGCGCCUGUAGACGCAGACGCCCCGGCGGAGAAGCUUAUGGUGUUUAUU